rnacentral:rRNA from 1 species
AUUGAACGCUGGCGGCAGGCCUAACACAUGCAAGUCGAGCGGAAGGAGGGUGCUUGCUCCUGGUUUCAGAGGCGGACGGGUGAGUGAUGCCUAGGAAUAUGCCUGGUAGUGGGGGAUAACGUCCGCAAACGGGCGCUGAUACCGCCUACGACGUGCGGGUGAAGGUGGGGGAGGUUCGGACCUCAUCCUCUCAGAUGAGCCUAGGUCGGAUUAGCUAGUUGGUGGGGGAAAGGCCUACCAAGGCGAGGAUCCGUAACUGGUCUGAGAGGAGGAUCAGUCACCCUGGAGCGGAGACAGGGUCCUGACGCCUACGGGAGGCAGCAGUGGGGAAUAGGGGGCAACGGGCGAAAGUCUGACCCAGCCAGGCCGCGCGUGAGAAGAAGGCCUUCGGAUCGUAAAGCACGCUUAGGGGGUAUGAACGGCAUUAGGUUAAUACCUUGCGGGAUUGACGGUACUAACAGAAGAAGCACCGGCUAACUUCGUG